GCUGGGUGCAGUGGUGCAUGCCUGUAGUCCCAGCUAUUCGGGAGGCUGAGGCUGGAGGAUCUCUUGAGUCCAAGAGUUCUGGGCUGUAGUGUGUUAUGCCGAUCAGGUGUCUGCACUAAGUUCGGCAUCAAUAUGGUGACCUCCCAGGAGCAGGGGACCACCAGGUUGCCUAAGGAGGAGUGAACCGGCCCAGGUUGGAAAUGGAGCAGGUCAAAACUCCCGUGCUGAUCAGUAGUGGGAUCGUGCCCGUGAAUAGCCACUGCACUCCAGCCUGGGCAACAUAGUGAGACCCUGUCUCU
rnacentral:SRP_RNA from 1 species